GCAAAGGAAUGGCCGAGGGCGGACGUGGGCCUCGCUAUCUCUCCAGCCUUGAGGAGGAGGAAAAGAAAGACUUCGAUAUUUUUAUAUAGAAAAGAUGAUUGAAAUUUGAAAGAGAAACAUUAUUUCAUACUACGAGAAUGUGAGAAGAAAGGGAAAAAAAAUUAAAUAUCCCAGUGACGAAAUCCAUAAAAAAAAC